CAAGAGCGUAUGUAAAAGUUGUUGCAGUUAAAAAGCUCGUAGUUGAACCUUGGGUUUGGUUGGCCGGUCCGCUUUUUUGCGAGUACUGGAUUCAACCGAGCCUUUCCUUCUGGCUAACCAGUCGUUUCGGCGGCUGGCGAACCAGGAUUUUUACUUUGAGAAAAUUAGAGUGUUCAAAGCAGGCAUUAGCUUGAAUAUAUUAGCAUGGAAUAAUAGAAUAGGACGUUAUGGUUCUAUUUUGUUGGUUUCUAGGACCAUCGUAAUGAUUAAUAGGGACGGUCGGGGGCAUCAGUAUUCAGUUGUCAGAGGUGAAAUUCUUGGAUUUACUGAAGACUAACUACUGCGAAAGCAUUUGCCAAGGACGUUUUCGUUAA
rnacentral:rRNA from 1 species